AAAAUGGAUGAUUUAUUUAACCGUGAUAGGCGUGCCUUGAUAUCUGCUGUCAUCCCAAGUGAGUUUACCCUUGGUAAACGUUUAGGUAGUGGAACUUUUGGUGAAGUGUUUUUGUUGCAAGAUCCUAAAAAUAAAAACAAAGAACUUUUUGCUGUUAAAAGAAUAUACCUCGAUGGCAUUGACAUGGAAAAGGAUAUUAUAUUGCUAUAAAAUGAAAUAACAAUUUUAAAAAGAGCCGCCCAUAGCAGCAUAGUAACGUUCCACGGAUUUUCUAUGCAUGAAAAUGUGCCUUGCAUUUUUAUGGAAUACAUGCCAAUGGGAUCCUUACGACAAAUAAUUGAUUCUAACCUGGACAUGUAUGAAAGAAAUCAUCUGGAGCCUGUGAUAAGUGAAAACCAAAUUUCUCUGUACACAUGUCAAAUACUUGAAGGACUGGAAUAUCUUCAUGAUCGCAGGAUCAUCCACCGUGAUAUUAAAGCUGCAAAUAUUUUGCUUGAAAAUGAAUCAAAAGUCAGACUUGUUGACUUUAAAGU